UAUGGAAAUAUGAAUGUGAUUGCACUAAAGGAGCAAAUAUGGAAAGUCUAGAGACUGUCAGAUUUGCAAGAGCAGGAAAGGUUGGAGAAGGUCUUAAAUUUUAUUCCCAUGCUUUCAGAUUCUUAGGCUGCUUGUAAAUCUAACCAAACUCUUAAUUUCCUGGAGCAUUACAUGUUAGCUCAAUUCAUUCCUGCAGCAUUCUCCCCAAACGCUUUUUGACUAGGUUAUUGCAUUUUGCAUUCAACCUUACCUCCAAUUCAAUAAUUUUAUUCUUGUUUUCAAAGGGGAUCUCAAAAGAUUUUCAAACUAAUUUUAUUUCCAGCUAAAACAAAUCUCAUUUUGUGAUUAAAUGAAGCUUGUCUCACAGGCUAUAGGUCACAUCCUGCAAAAACCACUAACCAGAAAAAACAUACACUGCUGCCAGUGGUUCUGCAAAACUGAAUUAAAAAAUCCUGCAAAAGCAGUUAAGAAAAGCGUAGCCCAGGAAUCACCAAUGUAUUUACAAAACACUUUUCUCACUGUGCUGAAAAUGUUAACUUGCAUAAAUAAUUUAUGUGAUCAGUUUGAUCUUCAGAUCUCUCCUGAAAGCCUAAUUACCCCUUAGCGCUUGUCUGCAUUCAGCUUUCCUUACCCACUUAAUGUCCUAGGAAACUGAGGCACAGCUCUCAGGAGUGUAUAACAGGCUGGAGCUAAAGAGCUUCUUAAUCUCUGGAGAGCCUUUUAGAAAAUAAUUCCUGGCUAGUGACAUUUAACUGUUUUCUUCUGACAAGCAACAGGCUAGAGGCCACUCGGCAGUCUUGGGCAUGCCUUCAUGUUCCUGCUCCCCUUGACUCCUUGUAUGCCUCAACAACAAGCUCUUCUGCACAGAAGAGGCAAUGGCAGGUGCUGGCACCUUUUGAUUUAGAGAGGAGGAGAAAACAUUUUGGAGCCAGGAGGAGUCAGGGAGCUAAGGAUCCCUCUGCCUCUCAGGAGGUGAUGCUUUUGAUAUUAAGCCCUGUUCAGGCUGGGUGAGUGGAAUUAGGUUUCCUGAUAAAUCACAUGUGACACUACUGAUUUUGACUGAAUUACUUCAGUUUAUGCACAUCUCAACUUCAGAGUUAGGGCAAAUCCUGAAGACAGAUCAUUUACAUGCCAAAACAAUACCCAUGAAAUUUGAGAUGAACUAGAAAUAGCUGUAUAUUUCUGUUGACCCCAGGAAAACCUUUUAGAAAACCAGGAAAAAGUAGGGAAGAGGAAAAGUUUGGGGAUGGAAGGUGGGGCUAAACUGGGGGCUUGGGCUGGGGACCAUCAGAUUGCAUACCAUGUUGGGAUGAGGUGGGAGGAGAGCAGAGAGGAACAACACAGACAGAGCCUGGAACCUAGUAGGGUCUUACCAGGAGAAGCCUACAUGGUGCUAUCUCUUUGCUGAACAGCUUGGCAUGUGCAAGAUGCUUCAUCACUUCCUCAGAGACAGAAGAAGCACCUGUCAGCUACAAAAACACCCCUCAUCACUCAGCAACAGCUGAACUCACUCAGCGUUAUGCAGAGCUGCAGUUUCAGCCCAUGUCUCCCCAGCUCAGGGUAAAGAUCCAUAAUGGGGUCAAGAUCAAUCAUCUCAUUGGUCACUUCUUGGUGGAGGACUACUGAUGGGAUUCAGUUGCUGGAGAAAGGGAGGAGACAGGCAUAUCCCAAGACUAAAUGCUCCUGGGAGGUGAUUUUAACCCUGUGCAGGAGGGUGAUGCAAGUGAGAAAGCUCCCAGCAGAACCCACUGCAAGGUGCCCAGCUGGAUGCCUGCAGAUAGUGCGACACCGUGUGGCUAAUGAGGCCGCAGCACGGUACCAGCUCCCGGCCUCGGCAUGGUACCAGACUGGUACCGGCCCCUCGGAGCCCAUCCUGACACCGUGUUCCUGCACAUGCUCCCUCCCAGGUGACUCUGUGCCACAGCAUAGUGUCGUUGCAGAAAGACACCACUUUUUUAGGUUGAGUGUGAUCUUUCCUUGCCUCUCAGUGGAAACAACCCUCUGGAAUCACAUAGUGAAUAAGAACCCAUUUUCCCCUGGGAGACCCGACAGCAGCAGCAGAACAGCAGAGCAUCAGUCACACACCACUAUGCCAGGAGGAGGAGAGGGGGGGCUUUGCUUUGUACCACUGGCUGCCAGUGCCUUCCAUCUAUUUAUUUUUGAUGAAGGGUUCUAGUUCCUGCAGAACAGCGUGGGACAGUGCCUGGCGGGGCAGAGGGACGGGUCCUUGGUCACAUUGCCCUCGCAUGUUUUCUGCCUGUGUUGCAGGGAUGGCUGAAAUGUUGCCUGGUUCUCGAGCACCACAUCAUCCACUCAUGAGGACUAGGAGAGGAUGUAACUUCUCACCAGACUGACCUCUGUAUGUCAGAAGCUCUUGUGCUCCUCUCUAGACAGAGCUUUCCAGCUGUGUGACCUGACAUCCACAUGCACCUCUAUCCCACACCAGAUACCAAAGGAAGAAGCAGAGAGUGAGCUACACAGCCCUGGAAAGAGGAUGUGAGCAAAAGGCCAACAGGUCAAGUGUGUCAUACUGCUGAUCCAGGGGUGGCUUGUAAGGUGUAGGUCCUCACCCUUGCUCCAAAUUACUGCUGCCCACACUUGGGGCAGUGCCUAAAGCAGUCAGAUCAUUGCUCUGAUCUCAUGUUCCCUCUGGUCCACAACUGUGGCAACAUCAGAGUAAAACCACCCCUCUGUAUGGACCUGCUAAACUCCUACACACUGGCAAAGCACAGUGGAAACAGAGGGAGAUAAUAUAUAUAUGGUAUAUGCAGAGGGCUAUUUACACCACUGGGGCUUGCUGACCCAACCUUCUCCUGAAAGCAUUCUAGAGGACUAUUUAUUUGUCUGUGUGUAUGUAUAUAUACAUGCUUAGGUCUAUUUGGGGGUGUGAAUACAUGUGUAUGGGAAGGGAAAUGAACAAGCAUAUGCAUGAGAGAAAUGGCAGAUUACAAUGCUUUUUCUAAAAUAACUAAUAGCGGCAAUAAAGCAAAUGCCUGA